rnacentral:tmRNA from 1 species
GGGGCUGACCGGUUUUGACAGCAAGGUCAAUAGACGGAGUAAGCAUGUCGUGGAAUGUCGCGUACCCACGUUAAUCAGACGCUUCAACUUUAUAACUGGCAACAACAAUUACGCUUUAGCUGCCUAAUUGAUCGAAUUAUAGUAGAUCUUGGCGUUUCUGUACUAGGUAUGGAAGCUAAAUGUCUCUCAAAUGCCUUUCCUUACGGCGUUUGAUUAAGAGGCACAGCAAUGUGGGGAUAGACAAGAUGGUGUUUCGGAGUCUUGUCGAAAUUUAAGAAACUAAGCUGCAGAUAGGGUGUUUGUUCUCGGUCUGUAGUCGAAAACCAAAAACAAAAUAAGCAUGUAGAAAGCACGUAGGUUGCUUGUUUGGACGCGGGUUCGAAUCCCGCCAGCUCCACUU